AAGGCGCAGACUCGCCAGGCCUGGCGGCGGCGCAGACGCAAAGCGCCAGUCCCAACCCCGGCCCCUCUGGCUCCCGAAGGCGCGGCAUCCUCCGCCUCGCGACCCCGAGGCCUCCCUGUUCCCAUGGUCCUCUGGCUCCUGCGAGGCCGCAGGUCCUCACCUGAAGGCUUGAAGACUCGUGAAAAGCUGUCCGCGGGGCUGAGACCCAGGAUCGCUCUGGACCAGGUUGAGUACUGUCCCAACACAUCCCGAUCUGCAGAUGUGGAAACUCAUCUUCAGCUCUCCUGGACCAGCCAUUUUCUGCCAACCUUGGUGGCAAAUGCUCUCUGACAUCAUACCUCCAACAAUUGUAUCUUUAAUUUCUGUGGCAUUCAGUGAGAAGUUCUCACUGCUAAAUCUACAACCAAGUAAGACAAAGAUAGGACAAAUUUGGUUCAGUAAGGACAUGCAAGAGGAGGGCAUUACUAAGAUAUCUGUAGGGGGAAACUAUAACACAUGUCAUCUUGGAAAUCCUCAAAAUCCUAGAGUUGAAAUAAAUGGGACAGUUAUACAGUGUGA